AUGUUAUCAGGGUUGGUAUCUCUGAUUCUUCUUGAAGUAUCUUUUUUAAAAAAGAUUUAUCUAUUUGACAGUCAGUUACACAGAGAGAGAAGGAGGAGCAGAGAGAGAGAGAGAGAGAGAGAGAGAAAGAGAGAGAGAGAGAGGUCUUCCAUCCGAUGGUUCACCUCCCAAUUGGCUACAACGGCUGGAGCUGCACUGAUCUGGACCAGGAGCCAGGAGCUUCUUCCUGGUCUCCCACGUGGGUGCAGAGGCUCAAGGACUUGGGCCAUCUUCUACUGCUUUCCCAGGCCAUAG
rnacentral:lncRNA from 1 species